CGCUGGCGGCAGGCCUAACACAUGCAAGUCGAGCGGAUGAAGAGAGCUUGCUCUCUGAUUCAGCGGCGGACGGGUGAGUAAUGCCUAGGAAUCUGCCUGGUAGUGGGGGACAACGUUUCGAAAGGAACGCUAAUACCGCAUACGUCCUACGGGAGAAAGCAGGGACCUUCGGGCCUUGCGCUAUCAGAUGAGCCUAGGUCGGAUUAGCUAGUUGGUGAGGUAAUGGCUCACCAAGGCGACGAUCCGUAACUGGUCUGAGAGGAUGAUCAGUCACACUGGAACUGAGACACGGUCCAGACUCCUACGGGAGGCAGCAGUGGGGAAUAUUGGACAAUGGGCGAAAGCCUGAUCCAGCCAUGCCGCGUGUGUGAAGAAGGUCUUCGGAUUGUAAAGCACUUUAAGUUGGGAGGAAGGGCAUUAACCUAAUACGUUAGUGUUUUGACGUUACCGACAGAAUAAGCACCGGCU
rnacentral:rRNA from 1 species